GCCCUCGCGGUGUAGUGGUGAAGGCGUUUGACUGACGAUCUGAGGGUCGCGGGUUCGAACCCAGCAGUGGUCA